rnacentral:rRNA from 1 species
GCGUUGUUCGGAAUUAUUGGGCGUAAAGCGCGUGUAGGCGGUCUUUUAAGUCUGAUGUGAAAGCCCCGGGCUCAACCUGGGAAGUGCAUUGGAAACUGAAAGACUUGAGUACGGGAGAGGGCAGUGGAAUUCCCAGUGUAGGAGUGAAAUCCGUAGAUAUUGGGGGGAACACCGGUGGCGAAGGCGGCUGCCUGGACCGAUACUGACGCUGAGACGCGAAAGCGUG